GAGGGCAGGACCUUGCCAGUCAGGGCCCAGUCACACAGUACCUCAGUGAGGCAAGCAGAACAGGUGUAGGGGUGGCAGCCAGGGUCAGCCAAGAGUCCAGGUCAUCAGAAUAGUUAACAGCAAUGAGGCAGCUCUGAGGUCAAGCCAGGGACACAAGUCAGCAAAUCAGGAUCAGGCCUGGUGAGAGAAACCAGGGCCAGACACAGCCAGUGAUCAACAGGCAGGUCCAUGGUGAUGGGGCAGAGCUGAGGCCAGGACAUCAGCCCAUGUGUCUAGAUCAACAGCUGUCAGGAUCAGUCACACACAUGUAUAGGCAGGAGCACGGCUGUGGCUAAGAAGGAGACCAACACCCCUACUGCAUAGUUCAGGUAGGCAGUGAAUGUCCCAGGCAGGGCUUAAAUGGAGCUCCCAGGCCCAUUGGCAGGGAGUGGGCUUGGAGGCCCAAGUGAAGCUGAUCAGAGCCAUUAAGGCCUAUUGGUGCCCUCAGGGCCCUGACAAAGUUGUUCACCUGCAAGGGAGUUGGUAGGUAGGUUUGAUCUGCAGCUUCUCCCCAUAUUAGUGGUUUCUGAUAUGCUUAUGCUGUGUCCUGGGAGUCAUGGACAGUUUCCAGCUGUAAAAUACUCAGGCUCUUCUCUCUCUUAUACCCAGGGCAACUCCACAUGCAUGAAGAGCAUCAUAUUCUGCUACUGUGCUGUAGGUGGAUACCCUGAGACAGAGCUUGAUGCCACCAGGAUGUCCAGCAGGCUUAGCAACCAAGGGCUGCGACAAUGGGCUGCCUAAGGAUGCGUUGCCUUUCAGCCCAGCCGUCCUCUCAGGGGUGUUGGGAAAGCUCCUCGCCGUCCCCCUGCUGCCCUGCCUGGCUCCAGACCUGACAUCCCCGUGCCCCCUCCUCCGUCUCCUGCCUGCCUCUCAGAUGCCUCUUUCCUUGCGUCCUCUCUCCUCUAACCUGCUGUUCUUGCCUUUCUUUUAGGGCUGCCUAAGGAUGCGUUGCCUUUCAGCCCAGCCGUCCUCUCAGGGGUGUUGGGAAAGCUCCUCGCCGUCCCCCUGCUGCCCUGCCUGGCUCCAGACCUGACAUCCCCGUGCCCCCUCCGGCAGGAUGGCCCAGGCUGGGGCGGUUGUCCGCUUCUGCCCCCAAGAGGGCUGCGCCGCCUCGCCCCCGCCGUUCCCCCGCAACGUGGACCGGGGGCCCCGGCUGGGGGCCGCGCGC
rnacentral:lncRNA from 1 species